UACGGAGGGGGCUAGCGUUGUUCGGAAUUACUGGGCGUAAAGCGCACGUAGGCGGAUUGUUAAGUCGGGGGUGAAAUCCCGGGGCUCAACCCCGGAACUGCCUUAGAUACUGGCAGUCUAGAGGUCUGGAGAGGUGAGUGGAAUUCCGAGUGUAGAGGUGAAAUUCGUAGAUAUUCGGAGGAACACCAGUGGCGAAGGCGGCUCACUGGCCAGAUACUGACGCUGAGGUGCGAAAGCGUGGGGAGCAAACAGG
rnacentral:rRNA from 1 species